rnacentral:rRNA from 1 species
AUACGGAGGGAGCUAGCGUUGUUCGGAAUUACUGGGCGUAAAGCGCGCGUAGGCGGCUAUUCAAGUCAGGGGUGAAAUCCCGGGGCUCAACCUCGGAACUGCCUUUGAAACUGGAUAGCUAGAAUCCUGGAGAGGCGAGUGGAAUUCCGAGUGUAGAGGUGAAAUUCGUAGAUAUUCGGAAGAACACCAGUGGCGAAGGCGACUCGCUGGACAGGUAUUGACGCUGAGGUGCGAAAGCGUGGGGAGC